rfam:Corynebacterium sp. ATCC 6931, complete genome.
AGAGGGAAUGUCCGCAUGGACUCUGCCUGAUAGCCCCUGGUGUACUUCCCCGAUACCAGGUUCUGUCAGGCGGGGCCCUGUGAACAUCCCCGCUUUUU